rnacentral:rRNA from 1 species
GUGCCAGCCGCCGCGGUAAUACGUAGGGUGCAAGCGUUGUCCGGAAUUACUGGGUGUAAAGGGAGUGUAGGCGGGAUAGCAAGUCAGAUGUGAAAACUAUGGGCUCAACCCAUAGACUGCAUUUGAAACUGCUGUUCUUGAGUGAAGUAGAGGUUGGCGGAAUUCCUAGUGUAGCGGUGAAAUGCGUAGAUAUUAGGAGGAACAUCAGUGGCGAAGGCGGCCAACUGGGCUUUUACUGACGCUGAGGCUCGAAAGCGUGGGGAGCAAACAGGAUUAGAUACCCUGGUAGUCCACGCUGUAAACGAUGAUUACUAGGUGUGGGGGGACUGACCCCUUCCGUGCCGCAGUUAACACAAUAAGUAAUCCACCUGGGGAGUACGGCCGCAAGGCUGAAACUCAAAUAAAUUGACGG